rnacentral:rRNA from 1 species
CCUACGGGAGGCAGCAGUGGGGAAUCUUGCGCAAUGGCCGAGAGGCUGACGCAGCGACGCCGCGUGGGGGAUGAAGCAUUUCGGUGUGUAAACCCCUGUUGCUCGGGACGAACGACCGGUUUCGACCGGUGUGACGGUACCGAGUGAGGAAGCACCGGCUAACUCCGUGCCAGCAGCCGCGGUAAUACGGAGGGUGCGAGCGUUGUCCGGAAUCACUGGGCGUAAAGGGCGCGUAGGUGGUUAGAUGCGCCGGUGGUGAAAGCGCAGGGCUCAACCCUGCGUCGGCCAUCGGGACGGUCUGACUGGAGCACUGUAGAGGCAGGUGGAAUUCCGGGUGUAGCGGUGGAAUGCGUAGAGAUCCGGAAGAACACCGGUGGCGAAGGCGGCCUGCUGGGCAGUUGCUGACACUGAGGCGCGACAGCGUGGGGAGCAAACAGGAUUAGAUACCCUGGUAGUCCACGCCGUAAACGAUGGGCACUAGGUGCUUGGGGGAGCGACCCCCUGAGUGCCGACGCUAACGCAUUAAGUGCCCCGCCUGGGGAGUACGACCGCAAGGUUGAAACUCAAAGGAAUUGACGG